rnacentral:snRNA from 1 species
GUGCUCACUUUGGCAGCACAUAUACUAAAAUUGGAAUAAUACAGAGAAGAUUGGCAUGGCCCCUGCACAAGGUGACACACAAAUCCAUGAAAUGUUCCAUAUUUUC